rnacentral:misc_RNA from 1 species
GAGGACUGUUUAUCAUUGAAUCUUUGCCUAGACUGUUUUGGGAUAGACUUUCAGAUGGUUUGUUUUACCAUAUUUAAUUGUAUAAAUAGGUUCUAAGAGUCAACUUAUCAUUAUUCAUUAUAUUAUAAAAAACAAAGUUCUACUCUAUAAAGACAGAUCAACAUUGAAUCCAACUAAAUGCAUUAUGCAGUUGGUGGGGCUUUUUCUUUGUUAU